UUGUCAAACCAAGGUUCUGAAAUUCUGAGUCAUACCAAGGUUCUGUGGGGGUGGGUCUCUAUAUUCUGUGUUAUACACACACACACACAAACACACACACCCUCAGCUGGUCCUCACUACUAUGCAGGGUACUCUCUCUGUGUGCAACGUCCUUUGAUAGGCACUGAAGGAAGUGCAUGCAAAUAAUAUGCAUUCCCCAGGUGUUUACUGAGCAUCGAUCAUGUAGCUAAGCACAGGGUUGGGUACCAAAAAGAAUGGUAGCAGUGUAAAAUUUAGGUCUUCAAGAUGUUUAGAGUCUAGCUGGAGAAGAUAAAAUUGAACAAAAGGGGAGCUCAAUUUUUAUGUGAAUAUAGAAUCCUAGGUUUCCACUGAGAAUCAGGCUAUGGACAGAGGGAAAAGACUCUCUGAGGAGAGGAGAGAAGAGUAGAACUGUGGUGAGUUGGGGUGAAUGGAAUAGGGUAGCCAGGGCUGUGCCUGUGCAUUCCUUGUCACCACUGUGGGUCCAGAAGGAAGAGCAGCAGGAUUACUGCGUAAGGCUGGCCUAGGGCUGAGGAACUCAUGGGGGCCAAUAAGAAAACCCUACUAGCGAUGGAAACCUUGGGGCUGGGGUAGUUCAGACUGUGGUCCGAGGCUGGGGAAAGAGGCAAGUGGUGGAAAUUUAGAGGUUACAACAGGGAUGUGACUGAUGAUUCUCAGAGACAGUGGGGCCCAGAGCUGUAGUGGCAAAGAGAGAAUGGAAGUACUGUCUGGCAUGGAGGUCAAAGCUAACUUGAAAAGCAAGUUAGUGCUCUUGGAAAUGAUGCUGAGACCACCCCAGAGGGAGCGGUGAAGAUGUAGCGAGCAGUCAACUAUCUCCAUGUUAAAUGAGUAGCUUCUGAUAUUUUGAGUUUCCCACACAGAGUAUAAAAAAUACACUUGAUGUAUAAAAUUCAAAUGGUACUUUCUUCAUGAAGCCUUUUUCAUCCCCAAGAAAUAUAUCCUCUCUGUCUCAAGAAACAACUCUCUCUCACUUCCAUAGGCUUUCCUACAUCUACUAGGAAAUGUUUUUCUUGGUUCUUGAGAUAUCUGGGUAUAUGAUUUGUUAAACUUGGUGUCAGACCCUGGAGGACAGAGCCAGAGACAUCCUCCCCAAAGACCAGCACAGAGCCAGGCACACAAACAAGAUCCCAGUAAAUAUUCCAGGAAUUGAAGUAAUGCUUUGUCAUGGAGGAGUCCCGUGCUAGAGGCAGUUUUUACUUUUGGGAAGAUUAAAUAGCAGUCUUAAGGAAUAGAGUUUUGCCUACUAGCAAGCUCAAAUGAAUGUGGACCUAAGUACAAUAAAUAUUUGUGGAAUGACUGGUCCAAACAGAAGGUUAUGGGAGGCUGAGCUGAGGGAUACAGUCAUGCAGGUGACAGCUUCUUCGCCCUCUACCCCGAAAGAGAUGCGUGAGGGCACGUGUGCCUGCACACACACACCCCAACCCCCCACAUGCACACUUGCAAACUUAGAUAUUUCUGUUUCUCUUCAAGGAGGGGUAUAAAUAGAAUGGUAUCUUCGUGAUGCAAGCCUCAGAUUUGCCUCUCGGCUCCUCCUUUUGUUGUGAGGCUGUUUGGGAAUUUGUCCUCAUAACCCGUGGGUCUGUGCUGGGGUGUGGUCUUGGAUGGACAACAAGGAGUGGCUGUUUGCAUGGAAAGUCCACUUCAGGGGUGGUAUAGAAAUAGAGAACUCACCCAGGCACACCCCAAAUUAUAUUCAUCCCACAAUUAGUGAGCACCUACUGUGUUCCAGGCACUGAGGAUUCAGAGAUAAAUAAGACAUACAAGUAGUUUCUGCUCUGUAAGUCCUCAGAUCCUAGAGCAAGUAGCAGACUCUACAGAUGACUUCAAUAGUAUAUGGGUAUUUGUGAGGCCUGAUCCAGUGGAGAAGAGUGGAAAUCACCAAGAACACCCCAUGUGUGGAAAACCUGGUCUACAGAGAGACACUGUGUCCACAGCAACAAACACUCACUGAGUGCCUACCAGGCCCUGGCCACCUUCUAGGUAGAGAACACGCAGCACAACGUGACCCACACAGGCUCUUCUCCUUUGGAGCUUACAUCUUCACAGGGGAUGAGAGGUGACAAGCACGUAUACAACCAAGAAACAAGUAUUGGGACUGGCCAAAAAGUUCAUGUGGGUUUUUCCACGACAUCUUAAGGAAAAACCCGAGCAAUCUUUUUGGCUAACCUGAUAAACAGCGUGAUUUCAGAAGCCUGAUUGGAUUAAGACAACCAUGAAAAGACAGAUCAAAGAUAUUAUGUAACUCACCUAUGAUCACACAGGAGAGUGUUUCACGUCUGGAUUUCGCUGACCACAUCAUCAUGGAGUCAGUCGACACCACGUGGACGCUGAUAUGAUUCUGCCUCCGUUGGUCACACGGUGAUGCUUCUUCAGAUGCCUGCCCUCGGGCAACCGAAUUUGCUCUGUCCUCACAGGCAGAAAAGCCUGAGGUACCUGGCAUCGUAUGUCUCCCUGGACUGGGCCUCAGCCAGUGACGUACAGGCACAGGAGCACAACAGCCCAACUCUCUCGCUUCUGCAACAGCAGCUCUGAGGCUUGUUCUACACUCUAGAGUUCCCUGCAGGGGCAGGUUGAUGCUCCACUCCCCGCCCCACGCCACCCCCUCAACCCCACCCAUCUUUGUCUGAAACGACACCUGCAUGACUCCGUCUCCUUCACAGUCCUGCUUCUCCUACUCCCUUACUAGUUUCCCCUGGAAGCGCAAUCUUAAUAAAUUACUUGCAAACAA